rnacentral:rRNA from 1 species
GACGAACGCUGGCGGCGUGCCUAACACAUGCAAGUCGAGCGCAGGAAAUCAUCCGAACCCUUCGGGGGGACGUUGAUGGAAUGAGCGGCGGACGGGUGAGUAACACGUAAAGAACCUGCCCUCAGGUCUGGGAUAACCACGAGAAAUCGGGGCUAAUACCGGAUGGGUCAUCGGACCGCAUGGUCCGAGGAUGAAAGGCGCUUCGGCGUCGCCUGGGGAUGGCUUUGCGGUGCAUUAGCUAGUUGGUGGGGUAAUGGCCCACCAAGGCGACGAUGCAUAGCCGACCUGGGAGGGUGGUCGGCCAAACUGGGAGUGAGACACGGCCCAGACUCCUACGGGAGGCAGCAGUAGGGAAUCUUCCACAAUGGACGAAAGUCUGAUGGAGCAACGCCGCGUGAACGAUGAAGGCCUUCGGGUCGUAAUGUUCUGUUGUAAGGGAAGAACAAGUGCCGCAGGCAAUGGCGGCACCUUGACGGUACCUUGCGAGAAAGCCACGGCUAACUACGUGCCAGCCGCCGCGGUAA